rnacentral:misc_RNA from 1 species
UCCGAGUUGACCCCGGCAGUCUCUGUAGAGUUCCCGGCAUUACCCGUUGGCAACUACAGACAAGGGUUGCGCUCGUUGCGGGACUUAACCCAACAUCUCACGACACGAGCUGACGACAGCCAUGCAGCACCUCUACCGACGUCCCUUGCGGGAGGACCCCUUCUCGGGGGCUUUCAUCGGCGGUUCAAACCCAGGUAAGGUUCUUCGCGUUGCGUCGAAUUAAACCACAUGUUCCACCGCUUGUGCGGGCCCCCGUCAAUUCCUUUGAGUUUCAGUCUUGCGACCGUACUCCCCAGGCGGAGUGCUUAAUGUGUUGACGUCGGCACAGCAGGGGUCGAUACCCGCUACACCAAGCACUCAUCGUUUACGGCGUGGACUAC